rnacentral:tRNA from 1 species
CAUUGAGUGACUGAAGUAUUAAGUGUUGGCCUUUUAAGCCAAUUAUAGUAGUUAUUUACUCUCAAUGG